UUGGCGACCUUCCUGUAACUCAGGGCCAGGUCUCUGCUCCUCUGUUCUGCUGCUCCUGGCAUUAUGAGAUGUGCCCCCUGCACCCUGUAAACAGGGCUGCACCCCCACCCCCUCUGACCUUGGGGGAGGAGGCCUCCUUUAGCCCUUUGGGCUCUGUGGCUUCCAUGGUGGGAGGCUGAUGUCGUGGCCCAUAUGUCCCCAGACAUGGGGCAGCUUUGACCCCUGAUCAAGACCGCCUGAGGCACCUGUCAGCUGGCAUUCAGGUCUCUGCAGGUUUUCUCUGGGCUUCAUGCCCCAGCCGCUGCCAGCUGUGUGCAGGGAGCACCGCCCUGUAAGCAGGGUUUCCGGUGUUGGCGGUCACUGUUCACGGUGCCGCCCUAGCAGUUCUGUCCAGAGUCCUGGCCCAUCGUGCUCGGCUUCUGGCUGCCCGGGAUGUCAGCAGCCCAGGCUGGAGACAUCUGCCACGGUUCCAGGUAAGGCUAAGGAGAGACAGAGGUUGGGUCCUAUACUCUGGUUUCUGACGUGCUGACAGUGUCUCUUUGGUUUUUAAGGUCGUGCAGAAGACAGCAGAUGAGCAAUCCAAGGAAGGAAGAAACCCUCGCCUGCCCAGCAGGAGGGAAAGGUCCCUGAAGGGCAGCUGGAGAGGAAGGAAUGGAAGCUGGAGAAGACAGCCCGGGAACAAGAAGUGUGGGUCGGGGUGGGCAGGAGGAAGGGGAAUGUUGAAUGUCUGCUUAGAUAAGUACAGAUGGAGGCUGUUGAGUGCAUCUCUACACUUUCACACACCCUUUAGGAGCAAGCGGCCGCAGGCUUCAAGUUGCACCGUGCACUCGGUCUUGGGUUGGCCCCGAUUGUGUGCAGGGCGGUUGAGUCUUUGUACUAGUUGCGUGUCUUGAUAUGGAGCAGUCAAGGGUUUUGCAGGUUGUUUGGCUUCGCUAGUUAUGCAGUGGAUCGGAAUAGAUGUGCGAUCAAAAGGCGAAGGGUUUUCUCGGUUGGGUUGUUGAGCGGUUCUCGGUGUUAGCGUAGGAACACAGGUUUGUGCUCGGUUCUGUUUGUGGCUUGGCUGUAGCUUGCUUAGGCUGUAGGUUGCGGGGCCAGCUCGGGCUGUUUGUGGUGAACUUUGUUUGCGUCUGUAAAUUAAGACUCCACGAGUGUUUGAAAGUGUUUAAUCUCCAGCUCCACGGCCAGUGAGGAUGAAGAAGUUGUCUUGUGUCCAAAGGAUCCUAAAGGUAGUUGGCGUGGUCAACAUCAAACCGGAAGAAGUCAGCUGACCUAAGAAGUGCACAAUUGAACAAUAAAUGGACUAAGAAAUCUUACCUCGUAUCUCGUGCUUUUCUAUGCUGUGAAGAUUUGGCCACGGGCCUUUCCUGGUAAGAGCUGGCUGAAGGAUGAACAUUUUCAGAGUGUCUGCUGAUCCGACCUGUGUUCUGACUUGUGCAAUGCAAAUAUUUCCCCUUCAGUUUGACCAGUGGUGAAAGAAUGUGUAACACAUGGUUCCUAAUCUUCAGUUGACAAUUGUUAAUGCACUUUUUUUUUUUUUGAAGAAAUAAAAUAUCAGGUCCAUUGAAGUUGUGAUGCUUUGUAUAAUUUGGUGGAGUUCAGCAGUUCCUUGUCUAAAAAGUAAAAAUGGUCCCAAUAGAAAUAAAA